AGCAUCUGUCAGCACAAUGCUAGAUGUGGUCUUCUGCCAUGAAUAUGGUCAGUUAAUUCACCGCUUCCAUACUUUUGCAGACAUCAAUUGGUCUCCUGCCUAUGCUGUCAGGUCUGCAAUUUCUGUCGUCCAAAGAACUUCAAGUGAUGAUGACUGAGGGAUAAACAUUGAUGGGAUCUUCAGUGCUGCGUUUAUAAAGAUUCCAGCCUCUACCGCUACUGUGCACUGCAGUCUCCAUCUAAACCAACAAGUGAAGAUUUAAUAAGUAUGAACUAUUGGACAGAGAACUGGAGAAGGGACAAGAAUAUGGCAAAAAUAUAAUCAGAUUAUCAACACAUAUUUAUAUAUCACUUUGAUGAAACAUCCCAAGAUGCUUCACAGGAACAUUAAAUAAAAUCCUGAUUUUGAGACCUCUUGGUCAGCUGACUAAUAGCUUGGUCAAAAAGGAAGGCUUUUAAGAAAUGUUUAAAGGAGACAAAACCGAAACGUCAGCUUUCCUGCUCCUCUGAUGCUGCUUGGCCUGCUGUGUUCAUCCAGCUCCACAUUUUGUUAUGUCUAGAGAAUGGAGAGGGUCAAGGGGUUAAGUUCCAUAAUUUAAGAUCAAAGCAAUUGAAGAUAUGGCAACCAAGGGCAGAACAAUUGUGAUUGGGAAUGCACAAGAGGAACACCAAGGUCUCAGAAAAUUGUGGGUUGGACAGGAUCAUAGGGAUAGGCAGGGAUGAAGCCAUGGAGGGAUUUGUAAACAAGGUUGAGGGGUGGACUUGUUGAGAGUCAGGACAUGGGCAGCAAAGUUGUGAUUGACCUCAAGUUUUAAAGAGAGUCAAAAAGACCAAAAACUACUAUAGGUCAGGGUAACUGACAAUACAACUGCUGCAAAACAAAUUGCUGUGAUUCACUAAACACACAUCAGGCAAAUACUUCAUGAUCCUACAUAAUAAAUGGAGGAUUAUAAAUCCAUUAGCUUCCUUUAACAGUGGAUUCUCUCGAGAGAUGGUGUAUUAAGAAAAUACGUACGGACUUGCAUUUCUAUAGUAAAAGCAAAAUACACUGGAUGUUGGUAAUUUGAAAUAAAAACUGAAAGUGCUGAAGAAACUUAUUAUG